GAUGAACGCUAGCGGCAGGCUUAAUACAUGCAAGGCGAAGGGGCAGCAAUGUCACUGUCGUACGGGUGCGUAACGCGUAUGCAACCUACCUAUCACUGGGGGAUAGCCCGGGGAAACCCGGAUUAAUACCGCAUAACACAGGGGCUCCUCAUGGAGAUAUUUGUUAAAGGAUUUAUCGGUGGUAGAUGGGCAUGCGUUCG
rnacentral:rRNA from 1 species